GACAAAUUCUGUCACAUUCACUAGGGAAAUACUUAUAGAGCAGCCAGUAUGAAGGAUAUACUUGCACAAAAUCCUAGCUAAACACCCACAAACACUCACUCACCACUAGUGAGGACUCAAUGACCAAGGUGUAUUUUUAUGUACUUGUUCACAAACUGCCUGAUAUACUCUGUUCCAGGUUUUGGUUGUCUGAUUUAACAGUUCAGUGGAAAGAUGGGAGCAAACACUCUAUUGAAAGAAUGAAAUUGCUGUAAAUCUGUCUGUACUGUGGGCAGCAUUAUCUACAUUUCUUCCUAGGGGCCACAUCCCAGAUUCCAGGAUCCGGCCUCUGAGAAGUCAGAAAUGGGGAACUCUCCUGCCAAAUACAGUACAACUGUUUCUCUGCUUCGAUCUUUUCUAAUACAGCUACUUUCCUUUGAUUUCUUUAUCUUCUGUAAGUGAGGCUUAUUUGUGGUUCAUGUCAGAGAAAUUCUGUGCCCAGA